GCCGCAGUAGCUCAGCCGGUCAGAGCAGGGGACUCAUAAUCCUUCGGUCGCGGGUUCGAGCCCCGCCUGCGGCACCA
rnacentral:tRNA from 1 species